rnacentral:sRNA from 12 species
GAUCAUUGACAUACUUGAUACGAACAAUGGCAACAAGCAUUACUCGGCAGGUGAAAUGCCUGCACGUGAUUAACCCAUUGUCGUUAGCCUGCGACCUAAUGUGCGCAGGGCGAAGCCGUGGCAGGCACGGAACACCCCCGAGGCUCGAAAGCCUCCUGACGACAC